GGCCUGAUAGCUCAGUCGGUAGAGCAGUGGAUUGAAAAUCCUCGUGUCGACAGUUCGAUUCUGUCUCAGGCCACCA
rnacentral:tRNA from 1 species